rnacentral:lncRNA from 1 species
UUUUGGAACGAGUCAAAGGGUAGUUCUAGGGAUUUCUCUGAGAUCCGGUAUUUGCAUAGGGUCUUGGAAGGGUCCACGAACGCCUUCUAGACUCAAGUAAUGAGCCGAUUCACAAACCCGUGUUAUAGGUCUGUUAUAAGGGAAGUGUCGUAUACCCGGGUAUUGCCAAAACUAUAAAAAUUUUGGAACGAGUUAAAGGGUAGGUCUUCAGAAUUCUACUUCAUCCGGUUCUUGCGUAGGGUCUUGGAAGGGUCCACGUAUGCCUCCUAGACCUAAGUCUGUUAUAAGGGAAGUGUCGUGUACCCGGGUAUUAGGCAAAACUAUAAAAAUUUUGGAACGAGUUAAAUGGUAGGUCUUGGGAAUUCUACUUCAUCCGGUUUUUGCGUAGGGUCUUGGAAGGGUCCACGGAUGCAUCCUAGACCUAAGUAAUGAGCCGAUUCACAAACCCGUGUUAUAGGUCUGUUAUAAAGGAAGUGUCGUAUACCCGGGUAUUGCCAAAACUAUAAAAAUUUUGGAACG